AGGGCCCUUCAUGUAUAAUUAGUAUCAGUGAGGCCUUUAAACUGAAGUAAAUAACUGGGCUAGUGUCAAUAAUCAAUCAAAUACUAAUGGGGAAAUACAACUAGGAAUUUAGUGGGGAACAACAUGUCUGAAUGAGCAGAGAUGGAUCUAGAGAAGAUUUUUAAGUACUGUCAGAAAAUUAGAAUCAAGGAGACAGAGGAAAUGAACAUAUAAGUCAAUAUAUAUGUUCCCAUUCAUUAUAGCUCUGCUUUAAAUAGGAAUUCCUAUGGAUUCAAUGGUAUAAUUUAAUUUUGUGUGAAAACUAUCAAUUUUUCUUUUGGUUAUAAAAUAGAAGUCUGACUUGGGAUUUGUCAAUUUUCAGAAUUCAGUCUGUCCAUUGCUAAAGUCUACUAGGCUUACAAGUAAUCUUGAAUAACUGGUACCAUCUCAUCCCUCAUGACAACAAAAUGAGGCAUGAAGUGCAAAUUCUAGCUAGGAUCAUAAGAUAAGUUUAGAGCUAGAAAGGGCCUUCAAGGCCAUCUACUUAUAGAUCCUCAUUUUAUAGAUGGAGAAACUGAGGUCUAGAUGGCUAAGGUUGAGAUCCACAGGUAGAAAGGGACAAGAGACUGGGGGCUCUGUCCAGGAUCCAGAAAUCCCAAUUGUGGAAUAGCCGCUAUUAAAGAAGGGGAAGAUGCAGCUUGUGAUUUGUGGAUCAGCUAUGGGCAUCCCAUUCACGGACUGUUCAAGAUUCUAGAACCACAUUGGUUUGUUUUCUUCUAGGUUUUGGUCAAUUGCAGCUGUAUCACCCAGCUUCAGAGAUCCACUGGAUGCUUCAAUCAGCUCCUGACUUCCCCCAUCCCCAAGCAAACCUCUCAAAAUUGAGAUCCUGCACAUUGACUCUGCUCUGCAUUCAUUCUCAUCAGGAAGUAGUUUCAGAAGAAGAUGAGACAUCAACCCAUACAUCCCUGAAAGGAUUUUGGGCCCCAUUUGAUUGGGGAAAACUGGAACUGAUUGGUGAAUGGAUCUGAAACUACUCAGUGGCUGAGUGGGUUCCCAGCUGGCAUUCAAAGAAAGCAAGGCUGAAUAAGGAAGAAUUAAAUUGAGGGCAGUACAUGGUGAAUACAAGGCUAGAAAUCAAGUCACUUCUGUAUGGGGCCAUUCUUAUUCUGGUGCCCUUGAGAUCUAAGAGUAAAUACUUCAGGUAAUGUGAUAAAGAUUGCUGUUAAGGGUGGGGAGAAGAAGAGAGAUUGCCUCUUGGACAAAGAAGGUUUGGGAAAGUGGAGAGAUGUGACCAACAGCACAAGCUUAAAGAACCAGAAGAAGAACUUCUCUGGUCACAUUUUGCUUAAAAUUGGGCAUAUUCCAUACCUGAAAAGGGAGAAGAGAAAACUGAAAAGAAUUCUAAGCAAUGGGAUCCUGAAGGGAGAAGUAGGACUAAGUGCCAUUAAAAAAAAUCUUGAUUUGGCCUUUGUAGGUAUAUACACCCAUUUUUGCAAGAAUGUAAAAUAAAAUCUUUCCAGUAUUAA